AAAGUUGCGAAAAGAAGUUGUAGACAUUCAAAAGGACAGAAAACGGAAAAGAACGCCAAACAUCUUAGUUUUAGGACCCAUAGGUACUGGGAAGUCAUCUUUCAUCAAUUCGGUUAUAUCGGCUUGCAGAAAAAGAAUCGCUAAAGAAACUAAAGUUAGAGAAUCGAAAGCGAGCUGCACAAGACAGUAUAUUCAGGCUACCGCAACGGACCCUUCGAUUGACUUUGCACUGUUUGAUACUUUUGGCGUAGCAGAAGACACCUCAUGUGGAAUUAACAUCAAUGAUGUGGUGUCCGUCAUAAAAGGACAUGUGAGACCAGGUUAUACCUUUAAAGACGAGGAAUCCAUAACACCUGACAAUAAAACAUAUUACAUCACUAACCCGAAGAAAGAAGACCAGAUUCACUGUGUUGUCUUUUUACUGAGUGCAUACGAUGUGCAUCGUGGAUAUCUCAGUAGAGAGUACAAGGAUAAAUUAAAGGAUUUGCAAAAGAAAGUUGAGG
rnacentral:lncRNA from 1 species